rnacentral:lncRNA from 1 species
UCCUAUUCGGCUUGAUAUGAAGAGUUCUGGCAGCUAAUGCUCUCAUCACAGACAUCCAGAAACUGCUACUCUAGAUUUCCAGAGACCAGCCCACGUGAGCUUGAAAUAUGUGAAGGAUGGCAAAACUGGAAGAUUUCUCGAAAAUUCAAAGAAUUGUUACCUGGUUAAAAUCUGAGGCGGCUGCGGAGUGAACCAGUUCUUUUGAUUUGAAAAAUGUAUCACAAUCGCAACCACAUGAUAUUUUAAACAUGGCGUUUGUUCUUUGC